rnacentral:lncRNA from 9 species
UCCUUAAGCAAUACAUGUACUUAUUGCAUCCCUUCUGUUUCUUAUUCCAUCAGGUAUAGACAGUGUCUCUUGACUCCCAGCUUUAAAAGAUGAAGAUACCGGAGUUCCCGUCGUGGCGCAGUGGUUAACGAAUCCGACUAGGAACCAUGAGGUUACGGGUUCGAUCCCUGGCCUUGCUCAGUGGGUUAACGAUCCGGCGUUUCCGUGAGCUGUGGUGUAGGUUGCAGACGCGGCUCGGAUCCAGCGUUGCUAUGGCUCUGGCGUAGGCCGGUGGCCACAGCUCCGAUUCGACCCCUAGCCUGGGAACCUCCAUAUGCCGCGGGCAUUUCUACCCUUCCACCGUCAAGUCAAACAGUGAUUAAGUGCCUACUGUAUGCACGGCUCCGGUUGCCGGAUGGGUUCUUGUUCUCAAAUCGCUCCCACCACCAAAGUGGCCUCCUGGCCUGGCACAGCCGACCAGCCCCACCAGGAAAUCCGGGACUGGACCUGGGCAGAACAGAAUGGCUGUCCUCCAGAGUUUAGACAACUGGUCCACACUGAAGACAUUGUUUCUGAAAGAGUUCCCAUGACAACCUCCCUCUUCAAGAUUAAGGGGCUCGGUUCAUGACAAGGGGACCACCUCCUUGCAUCUUGGACUCAGACCAGAAGCCCCAUCUCUUCUGUGAAACAAGAUCCAUCUUCCCUAAAUAAAGCAAGCUCUUCGUUGGCUGGUUAUGGCUCCUUAUCCUGUAGUUGCUAUUUUUCUCUUUGAAUACAGGCACUUAGAAUGAAAAUGUUUUGCCCUGGAACAGAUGCUUGGUGGUUUUUUUUUUUUUUUCCUUUCUUUUUUUCUUUUCAUCUGUCUGGCAUCUCUCCUCUCCCCUUUUCUCUGGUAAUAGUAUUUUACUUCUCCUGGUGGACUGGUCCAUUGAUUAGUUUGUAAAUGUUGCCUGGACAGAUGGUUAUCCAUUUGAGGAGAGAUCACUUCUCUGCUUUCAUGUUAUUCACAAAAACCUGGAUGGAUUAAAAAUAAAAAGUAAAAGAAUUUCUAGAGCAGCAGAAGAAAAUAUGGGAGCCUAUUUACAUAAUCUGAGAGCUGGAAAGAAAAGAAAUUUAGAAGCCAUAGAAGAGAAAAAGAGGGGACCUCCCCAAAUUCAAAACUUGUAACCACAACCACAUCGUAAAUAAUGAAACAAUAAAUAACAAAAUUUAAAACAUGUUAAUGAGUCAUGGCAAAGCGUUGAUAUCCAUAACAUGUAAAAGGCUUCUAAAAUAGAUAAGACAAAAUAGAUAAGACAAAUAUAUGGUUCAAGGUACUCAAGCUUAUGAAUCAAGAGAUAUAAAUAAACUAUCAAAGGGAGUUCCUGUUGUGGCUCAGCAGGUUAAGAACCUGCCAUAGUGUCCAUGAGGAUUCGGGUUGGAUCCUGGGCCUUGCUCAGUGGGUUAAGGAUCUGGCCUUGCCAAACGCUGCGGUGGAGGUCAUAGAUGUGGCGCAGAUCCGAUGUGACCCCCAGCCUGGGAACUUCUAUGCCACAGGCGCGGCCUUAAAAAGAAAAAGAAAAAAAAGUAUCAUGAGGUCAGACCAACCUAAAUGUAAAAAUUUAGAAAAAAAUGCAGUCUUUGUAAGGGUGUCGGGGAGAAGCAUUCCUGCAC